rnacentral:rRNA from 1 species
GAACCCUAGGAUAGGCGGGAUUACCCGCUGAAUUUAAGCAUA